GUGCUUACUUCAGCAGCACAUGUACUGAAAUUGGACCAACACAGAGAUGAUUAGCCUGGCCCCUGUUCAAGGAUGAUGUGCAAACGUGUAAAGUGUUCCCAGAAAAC
rnacentral:snRNA from 1 species